AAAAAAGACAAAAUCCUUGUGUCCAUGACAACUUACAACUCAUCUUCGAUGAAGAGCGAGAUGCUGGCCAAUGUGCCCGAAGGAGCGAAAAGAGAACCACUGAAAUCAAGCGAAAAUCUGAAAGUAAAAUUUGUGUUACUGUGGCGCAAUCAAGGCAAAUGCAAGUGGCAGGCGACACCAUGGAUGUUCGUUGGGGUAGUGUGAAUGGAAAAUCGGUCAUUGUGGGAAGGGUUUGCUAAAUCUGACCCUGGCUGCUACAAGACAAGCAAGUGUGAAAUUCAUAUGAAAGAACCGAAUGGAUAACAAAUACAUCCUGGUAUGGCAAGAUUCUCCAUGGGCAGGCACCUUCAUUUUGCUAGUAUUGAGAGAGAUGUUGUCUUUACUGGUACCUGAUAUAUCCAAUGAGAUUGCAAUGGGAGCCUCAGCAAAUGGGUGUCAAAUUGGAGGAGAGAAAUCCAUUAAACAAUGGAGUAACGUUUUAC